rnacentral:lncRNA from 1 species
AUGGGGACACACCGAUAUAAAAAUGAACAGAAUAUGAAUCUGCAAGUCCUGCACACACACACAGAAUCUAGUCUUGUUAGUAAUCUAACAAAUAUAAAUGGGAAGAAUGGGAUGUGUUUUUUUCCUAUGAAAUUGACAAAAACAGUUAUAAUUCAGAGUGUUAUCCAGAGAGUAGGUAAAUGUGUGGUCUCAAACACGGAUUAUAGGAGAAGUGAGAAAUGGUGCAAACGUUCUAUAGGACAGUAUUAACAGUAUCAAACCGUAAAAGGUUUAUACUGUGGCACUUCUAGGAAUUUUCACAGGAGGAAUUGAGAAUUACACAAAGAAGCCGUGUAGAAGCUUGUGAUAAUUUUGACUGAUUUGAAACAAACUACAUUUCCAGCNNUAGGGAAGUAGGGAUGGCUUAAUUGAUGGUAAAUUUAUGCAUAAGAAUCCAUUGCAACCACUCUGGUUCAUGUGAUAUGGAAAAGUAUUCAUGAGAUAGAUUCUAUAUUCAGCAUGAACCUAAUGCAUAGUUUUGUGUGCAUGAUUUUAUGUGUCUGUGUUUGGGGAUAGAUCGGGGUGUGUGUACGUGCUAAUUCUGUUCAGCCAUGUCCUAUUCUGUGCGACCCUGUGGACUGUGGCCUGCCAGCUUCCUCUGCCUAUGGGAUUCUCCAGGAAAGAAUACUGGAGUGGGUUGCCAUGCCCUCCUNNNNNNNNNNNNNNNNNNNNNNNNNNNNNNNNNNNNNNUCUUAUGUCUCCUGCAUUGGCAGGCAGGUUCUUUACCACUAGCACCUGGGGUGUGUGUUUGUAUAUUUGGGUUUUGGUGUGUAUGGUAGAGUAUGAGUUUUGGUAUGUAUUUAAGUGAUAAUGUUUGUGGGUUUGGACAGUUGUGGGAAUUUGGAGAUAUGUUUGUGUAUUUGGGGUGUGUACAUGAAUUUGUGGAUCUAUCUCAGUGUUUAUGGGUGUGUGAAUGCAUAAACAAAUACCAAAGAUGAAAAUUCAAAGUCAAAACACUGAUGUGAUCAUCAUAGCUAUAGUUGAAUUUGUUGUUGUUCAGCCAUUCAGUCAUGUCCGACUCUUUGCAAUCCCAUGAGCUGCAGCACACCAGGCUUCCCUGUCCUUCACCAUCUCCUGGAGCUUGCU